rnacentral:rRNA from 1 species
UACGUAUGGGGCAAGCGUUAUCCGGAUUUAUUGGGUUUAAAGGGUGCGUAGGCUGUUCGACAAGUCAGGGGUGAAAGCCCAGUGCCUAACACUGGAACUGCCUUUGAUACUGCCGAGCUGGAAUACGGAUGCCGUGGGAGGAAUGAGUAGUGUAGCGGUGAAAUGCAUAGAUAUUACUCAGAACACCGAUUGCGAAGGCAUCUCACGAAUCCGUCAUUGACGCUGAGGCACGAAAGCGUGGGGAUCAAAC